CCCUUAGAUGUUCUGGGCCGCACGCGCGCUACACUGAUACAUGCAACGAGUUUAUAACCUUGAUCUGACGGUCUGGGUAAUCUUCAAACUGUAUCGUGUUAGGGAUCGAUUCUUGCAAUUUUUAAUCGUAAACGAGGAAUUCCUAGUAAACGCAAGUCAUCAGCUUGCAUUGAUUACGUCCCUGCCCUUUGUACACACCGCCCGUCGACUCUACCGAUUGAAUGGUUCGGUGAAAACUUUGGACUGUGGCAUUGUCCUUCAUUGGACCUCGCCGUAGGAAAUUGUUUAAACCUCAUCAUUUAGAGGAAGAAUAAGUCGUAACA
rnacentral:rRNA from 1 species